AGAGUUUGAUCAUGGCUCAGAUUGAACGCUGGCGGCAGGCCUAACACAUGCAAGUCGAACGGUAACAGGAAGCAGCUUGCUGCUUUGCUGACGAGUGGCGGACGGGUGAGUAAUGUCUGGGAAACUGCCUGAUGGAGGGGGAUAACUACUGGAAACGGUAGCUAAUACCGCAUAACGUCGCAAGACCAAAGAGGGGGACCUUCGGGCCUCUUGCCAUCGGAUGUGCCCAGAUGGGAUUAGCUAGUAGGUGGGGUAACGGCUCACCUAGGCGACGAUCCCUAGCUGGUCUGAGAGGAUGACCAGCCACACUGGAACUGAGACACGGUCCAGACUCCUACGGGAGGCAGCAGUGGGGAAUAUUGCACAAUGGGCGCAAGCCUGAUGCAGCCAUGCCGCGUGUAUGAAGAAGGCCUUCGGGUUGUAAAGUACUUUCAGCGGGGAGGAAGGGAGUAAAGUUAAUACCUUUGCUCAUUGACGUUACCCACAGAAGAAGCACCGGCUAACUCCGUGCCAGCAGCCGCGGUAAUACGGAGGGUGCAAGCGUUAAUCGGAAUUACUGGGCGUAAAGCGCACGCAGGCGGUUUGUUAAGUCAGAUGUGAAAUCCCCGGGCUCAACCUGGGAACUGCAUCUGAUACUGGCAAGCUUGAGUCUCGUAGAGGGGGGUAGAAUUCCAGGUGUAGCGGUGAAAUGCGUAGAGAUCUGGAGGAAUACCGGUGGCGAAGGCGGCCCCCUGGACGAAGACUGACGCUCAGGUGCGAAAGCGUGGGGAGCAAACAGGAUUAGAUACCCUGGUAGUCCACGCCGUAAACGAUGUCGACUUGGAGGUUGUGCCCUUGAGGCGUGGCUUCCGGAGCUAACGCGUUAAGUCGACCGCCUGGGGAGUACGGCCGCAAGGUUAAAACUCAAAUGAAUUGACGGGGGCCCGCACAAGCGGUGGAGCAUGUGGUUUAAUUCGAUGCAACGCGAAGAACCUUACCUGGUCUUGACAUCCACGGAAGUUUUCAGAGAUGAGAAUGUGCCUUCGGGAACCGUGAGACAGGUGCUGCAUGGCUGUCGUCAGCUCGUGUUGUGAAAUGUUGGGUUAAGUCCCGCAACGAGCGCAACCCUUAUCCUUUGUUGCCAGCGGUCCGGCCGGGAACUCAAAGGAGACUGCCAGUGAUAAACUGGAGGAAGGUGGGGAUGACGUCAAGUCAUCAUGGCCCUUACGACCAGGGCUACACACGUGCUACAAUGGCGCAUACAAAGAGAAGCGACCUCGCGAGAGCAAGCGGACCUCAUAAAGUGCGUCGUAGUCCGGAUUGGAGUCUGCAACUCGACUCCAUGAAGUCGGAAUCGCUAGUAAUCGUGGAUCAGAAUGCCACGGUGAAUACGUUCCCGGGCCUUGUACACACCGCCCGUCACACCAUGGGAGUGGGUUGCAAAAGAAGUAGGUAGCUUAACCUUCGGGAGGGCGCUUACCACUUUGUGAUUCAUGACUGGGGUGAAGUCGUAACAAGGUAACCGUAGGGGAACCUGCGGUUGGAUCACCU
rnacentral:rRNA from 2 species